rnacentral:rRNA from 1 species
UACAGAGGGUGCGAGCGUUGUUCGGAAUUAUUGGGCGUAAAGAGCUCGUAGGCGGCCUGUUACGUCUGCUGUGAAAUCCCGGGGCUUAACCCCGGGCGUGCAGUGGAUACGGGCAGGCUGGAGGCAGGCAGGGGAGAACGGAAUUCCCGGUGUAGCGGUGAAAUGCGCAGAUAUCGGGAGGAACACCGGUGGCGAAGGCGGUUCUCUGGGCCUGUACUGACGCUGAGGAGCGAAAGCGUGGGGAGCGAACAGG